GGACAGCUGGGACUCGAACUGGUUCCCAUAUGGGAUCCUGGCGUGUGCAAGACAAGGAUUUAGCCACUGAACUAUUGCACCAGGCGUCAGAAUCUCUUCUAACUGAAAACAAAGUAUUUUUGUUUAUUAGAUUACUAUCAGUUUACUUAUGUACAUAUUUAUGUGUGUCUUUACAUAUAUAGAUUCUAGAAGCAUGAGAUGCUUCUGGAAGUAUUUCUGUGAGUAUGGGUUGAUGAGUUGUUUCAGAUUCCCAAUUUUUACAUUUGGUUGAGCUUACCAUAUGAUACCAGAAAUGUAAUACUAUGUUUCUCCUAAUCAGUCCAGACAUAUUCUAGGUUACAACCCUUAUUCCUGUAAUAGUGCCCUGGUUUCCUGAAGAUCAAACCUCAUAGCUUAUGGUCGUUUGGACUUGACAUUCUCUGCCUAUGAGGUUAGCUCUGUGACGGCAGCCAAGGGAGGGCCUUGGCCUUUGGCGUUGACUGGACUAUCUUCUAUUCCUUCAGGUCUUUCACUACCAUUCCUACAGUGGUUGGCAAGAUUGUGUUUCCACUCUCCAUGUACCAUGCCAGCAACAGCCUAGCUGCUGGAGUGUGGAGCUGGCCUGUGGGAGUCAAGUCAUCUUGUAAAUUUUGCCUAUGUAAGUUAGCACACCCCCUGUUAUGUCGUAACAGCGUGUAAGGGAGAGUGUUUUCCUGCUCUGUCUUAGGUAUUGGUGACGUGAUGCGUUCACGCAGGGGAAACUUGAACAUUCACAGGUAGGUGAAGAUCGUGAUUCCUAAACACUUCCUCCCUGCAAACAAAGCGGUUCAUUUCAGAGUAAACUCACACUGAGCUUUUACAAAGUCUCUCUCUCACCUUGCCUCCCUCACUAUAGAACAAGGGUUGGCAGUCUGGAGAUGCUGCUUGUUUUUGUAAAUGAAGUUUUAUUGAAACACAGAUGCAGAUAUUUACAAUAGUCUGGCUGCACUUGUACUGUAACCGGAGUCGAAUUCUGACGGAGAUCAGGUGAUCCAUAAGACCUACCAUAGCUGCUAUCUGACCCUUUAAGAAAGUCUGACGACCCCUACUGUAGAAGUCAGAACUAAAUUGUAUUUAGAGAGAAGGUUGCUAAAAUCACAACUGAUUCAUAUAGGCUUCCAAAGAGAAAACCAAGAAAGCCAAGGCUUGUUGUCAUAGUUUUAUUUUAAAAUAGUUCUAAAUGUGUGGAAAAAAUGGUAAGGAUGGACUACAGAGCUCCCAAAGAUCUCUUUUCCAUAUUGAAAUAUUACUGUGAAUAUUUGUUAUGUAUGUGUGAUUACUGAUAGUAGGCUAAGUAAAUGGAAAAAUCUGUGAUAGCAGUCCAGUUUGUCUUUUCUGUCACUCAUUAUGUAUUAUAUAAAUAUGUUUUCAUUAUAUUCUCUAUAUAAUUUUUAGAUUCUUCAUAAUGUUAUAGGACAUAUAAAGAUAUGUUUGACUAUAAUAU